UGGAUCCAGACUUUGAUUAUGGCUCAGGACGAACGCUGGCGGCGUGCUUAACACAUGCAAGUCGAGCGGGGACAAAAGACUUCGGUUUUUUGUUCUAGCGGCGGACGGGUGAGUAACGCGUGAACAAUCUGUCCCAGACAGGGGGAUAACACUUGGAAACAGGUGCUAAUACCGCAUAAGACCACGACCUGGCAUCGGGUUGAGGUAAAAGGAGCAAUCCGGUUUGGGGUGAGUUCGCGUCCGAUUAGCUAGUUGGCGAGGUAACGGCCCACCAAGGCGACGAUCGGUAGCCGACCUGAGAGGGUGAUCGGCCACAUUGGAACUGAGAGACGGUCCAAACUCCUACGGGAGGCAGCAGUGGGGAAUAUUGGGCAAUGGGCGAGAGCCUGACCCAGCAACGCCGCGUGAGGGAAGAGGGUUUUCGGAUUGUAAACCUCUGUCCUUGGUGACGAAGGAAGUGACGGUAGCCAAGGAGGAAGCCCCGGCUAACUACGUGCCAGCAGCCGCGGUAAUACGUAGGGGGCAAGCGUUGUCCGGAAUGACUGGGCGUAAAGGGCGUGUAGGCGGCCUGAUAAGUGUGAAGUGAAAGUCCUGCUUUUAAGGUGGGAAUUGCUUUGCAGACUGUCGGGCUUGAGUGCGGAAGAGGUAAGUGGAAUUCCCAGUGUAGCGGUGAAAUGCGUAGAGAUUGGGAGGAACACCAGUGGCGAAGGCGACUUACUGGGCCGUAACUGACGCUGAGGCGCGAAAGCGUGGGGAGCGAACAGGAUUAGAUACCCUGGUAGUCCACGCUGUAAACGAUGAAUGCUAGGUGUAGGGGGUAUCGACCCCUCCUGUGCCGGAGUAAACGCAAUAAGCAUUCCGCCUGGGGAA
rnacentral:rRNA from 1 species